rnacentral:tRNA from 1 species
GUAGAUAUAGUUUAAAGAAAACAUUAGAUUGUGAUUCUAGAAAAAGGGGUUAAAACCCUCUUGUCCACC